UUAAUUAAAGUCAACGUUUCAGUUUUUUCAGUGCAGUUAUGGGACCCAAACUGAAGUGUUAAACAAUACAACCAAUAUGUAAGACCAGACCAAGUUUAAAAUGCAGCUACACAGUAAAGAUAAAACGAUAAGUAUGACCCGAUGUUUAGGUAAAAAACAUGAGCAGCGCAACCCGGUCGUAUGCUUUCUCAAAAAUCACAAAACACAUGAAGACCGAUUAGACAUCCAGGAUCCUUGCAAGAGUAGACAAAUUGGUACUUUUCCAAAACCAGGCAAGAAUCCACUUUGUUCUCCUCAUCAGUUGAGUUCAACAGCGUAACAUGCUUCCUUUAUAACAGCUUUAAUGGAGCCUUGCUUCUAAUACACUGUCCAACCCUGGUUGAAAGUGGUAUAUAGAGGAAAAUGAAGUUUUUACUUGUUUUUGGAUUUUAAUGGCCAACAUAAAGUUAAAACCGGUGGGUUUUCAGUCUAUGAAGCAAGUUGUGUGUCCUUUCUGCUGUUCUAGUGUUGAUGGGCAGCUCGUUCUAACAUUUUUGAACCAGGAAAGCAAACAGGCUUGUUUUUGUUCAAGGUUCCAGUUAAAGUAUGUUACAGUAAAGUAUCUCACAACUGUUUACCUCAAUUUCUAGAGGGAUUCUCAGAUGUCAGGAACAUCACCAGGUUGUUUCUGGUGGUUCUGGUGCUGAUUCCUCUGCUCCUUGUCUUUCUCUGGAUGAGGAAGAAGAAGGCUUCGAGCUCCACCACUGAAGCAAAUGAACCCAUAGAGACUGUGGAGUUAGACCCUUUUUCUGAUUAUGAGGACGUCUCAGACCUGAACAUGGUCUCUGCAGAACAGACAGAAGAACCAGAGGAGCAGGAGGACCUGGUGUGAAGAUGCAUCAAACCAGAGGGAGACUCACCUGGAUGAAACAGAAAGAAGUGAAACAUUGAAGAGGAAACAUUUACCCUCAAGUUCUCAUGGUGUUAAGUAACAGUAGGUAGGAGUGAAAGCAGUCAGAAACAACAUGUACAGGAGAUGGAGUAAAAUGUUUAUUUUAAUGUACAGUAUAUACACACACUUUACUGCAAGAGUGGGGGUGUAAACAGAAAUGUGCAUCAGCUUACAUUUAGCACUCUAACUACUUAUCAUAUUUGCAGCAUUCCUUCAAUGUGUAUAUAUUUUAUAAUGAAAAUAUCAUGAUAAAAGUAAAAUUGGGAAAAAAAGAAACACUCCC